UUAAAGUACUAUCUAAAUAUAACAUGCUAAAUCAUGAUAACAUUUAUAUAAGCAUACGAUUAGAAAAGACUAACAUGAAGCUAUGUUUUAAUAUAGAUAAUUUAAUAUCCAACGCAUUUAACAAAUACGAUGGACACAUUCGAAUAAUCACGACACAUUCAUUUUUUGUAAGAUAGCACAGAAGAAAACUAAAAUCUCUAUCAUAUCAGAUGUUAGGAAGAGAUUGACAUAAUGAAUCAAAGAAUAAAAUGAGAGAAAUGAACCUUUCAUUGUAGCAAAAUAUUCUCUUUCAUAUUAUAGAUCCUUCAAAGCAACUUGUACAACAAUAAUUCUUUGGAAUUUGAUGAACCCAAGACUGGAAAAACUCGAUUCGGCAACCUCACAAACUCAACUGAAGAACAAUGAACAAGCAGUUAAACAAGACUAUAAAUAGACCUCAACUGCUCGGAAAGCUUCGAACCUCAUUUAUGACGGUGCUUUUUCAGAUUUGUUCUCUCCUUUCUUUUGUGUAUGAUGAGUGUUUAUAUCAGUAAGAGAGAAUGAGGAAGAGGAGCCCAUGAGAGUAGCCAAAAAUGAGUGAAUUGUGAGGCCAUUCAAAGUGUGUGCCGGUGAGAAGCUACCAGGAAAAGUGGAAAUUAGUUAGGAAGAAUUUUUGAUAAGUGGCCAAUUGUGAUUGGCUUUUUUUGUAGUAUUUUUUUUAUAAUAAUUAAGCAAAAUAAUCUACUCCUACUAAAAUAAGUAAAUACAAAGCAAAGUAAUAUUUAAUUCUUAAAGCCUCUAACUUAAAAAUUGUACUAAACUAGAUAAAACUAUACUUUUUGAACUCUUCAUUCUUUGUAAAUAAAAAUAAAACUAAUACUCUAAAAAAUGUAACUCUUUUUGUAGUUUUCAAUUUUCUUCAAAAAAAACCUACAAAAAGGGUAAAACAAAAGCUAAAAUAUGUAAAUUAAACUUAGAAUUAGUUACAUACUAAAAAUGGUAAAAAUUUAAAUAUGGUCAAAACUUAGGUGCUCACAGGAACAUCAACAACUUCAACCAUAGGAAGGAUCAUGUCCCCUUUAGAGUGCCCAUUAACAAGGUUAUAGAAUUC
rnacentral:lncRNA from 1 species